rnacentral:rRNA from 1 species
UACGUAGGGUGCGAGCGUUGUCCGGAAUCACUGGGCGUAAAGGGCGCGUAGGCGGGCAUUCAAGUCUAUGGUGAAAUCCGGCAGCUCAACUGUCGAACUGCCGUGGAUACUGGAUGUCUCGAGGGAGGUAGGGGCGUGCGGAACUAAUGGUGGAGCGGUGAAAUGCGUUGAUAUCAUUAGGAACUCCGGUGGCGAAGGCGGCACGCUGGAUCUCUUCUGACGCUGAGGCGCGAAAGCCAGGGGAGCAAACGGG